AGCUUUGCGCAGUGGCAGUAUGAUAACCAAUGAAGUUUAUCCGAGGCGUGAUUAUUGCUAAUUGAAAAAUUGCUGCCUUCCGACACAUUAUAUUGAUGUACUACUUACAUUAAUGUACUUUUAGUUUUUCUUUCUAGGC
rnacentral:snRNA from 1 species